rnacentral:tRNA from 2 species
UCCCCGGUAGCUCAAUGGUGGAGCAACUCCCUGUUAAGGAGAUGGUUGUAGGUUCGAGUCCUACCCGGGGAG